rnacentral:rRNA from 1 species
ACGAAGUCUUCGGACUUAGUGGCAGACGGGUGAGUAACGCGUGGGAACCUACCUUUCGGUACGGAACAACAGUUGGAAACGACUGCUAAUACCGUAUGCGCCCUACGGGGGAAAGAUUUAUCGCCGAAAGAUGGGCCCGCGUUGGAUUAGCUAGUUGGUAGGGUAAUGGCCUACCAAGGCGACGAUCCAUAGCUGGUCUGAGAGGAUGAUCAGCCACACUGGGACUGAGACACGGCCCAGACUCCUACGGGAGGCAGCAGUGGGGAAUAUUGGACAAUGGGGGCAACCCUGAUCCAGCCAUGCCGCGUGAGUGAUGAAGGCCUUAGGGUUGUAAAGCUCUUUCAGCGAGGAGGAUAAUGACGUUACUCGCAGAAGAAGCCCCGGCUAACUUCGUGCCAGCAGCCGCGGUAAUACGAAGGGGGCUAGCGUUGUUCGGAAUCACUGGGCGUAAAGCGCACGUAGGCGGACUUUUAAGUCAGGGGUGAAAUCCCGGAGCUCAACUCCGGAACUGCCUUUGAUACUGGAAGUCUUGAGUCCGAGAGAGGUGAGUGGAACUCCGAGUGUAGAGGUGAAAUUCGUAGAUAUUCGGAAGAACACCAGUGGCGAA